GGGAGCAAAGUGGGGGAUCUUCGGACCUCACGCCAUCAGAUGAGCCCAAGCAAGAUUAGGUAGUUGGUGGGGUAAAGGCCUACCAAGCCGACGAUCUUUAGCUGGUCUGAGAGGAUGAUCAGCCACACUGGGACUGAGACCCGGCCCAGACUCCUUCGGGAGGCAGCAGUGGGGAAUAUUGGACAAUGGGGGCAACCCUGAUCCAGCCAUGCCGCGUGUGUGAAGAAGGCCUUCGGGUUGUAAAGCACUUUCAGUGGUGAGGAAGGCUUGCAAGUUAAUAGCUUGCGAGAUUGACGUUAGCCACAGAAGAAGCACCGGCUAAUUCCGUGCCAGCAGCCGCGGUAAUACGGAGGGUGCGAGCGUUAAUCGGAAUUACUGGGCGUAAAGCGCACGUAGGCGGUUUGUUAAGCAAGAUGUGAAAGCCCCGGGCUCAACCUGGGAAUUGCAUUUUGAACUGGCAGGCUAGAGUUUUGAAGAGGGUGGUAGAAUUUCCUGUGUAGCGGUGAAAUGCGUAGAUAUAGGAAGGAAUACCAGUGGCGAAGGCGGCCACCUGGUCAAAAACUGACGCUGAGGAGCGAAAGCGUGGGGAGCAAACAGGAUUAGAUACCCUGGUAGUCCACGCUGUAAACGAUGUCAACUAGUUGUUCGUUUCAUAAAUGAAGUGAGUAACGCAGCUAACGCACUAAGUUGACCGCCUGGGGAGUACGGCCGCAAGGUUAAAACUCAAAUGAAUUGACGGGGGCCCGCACAAGCGGUGGAGCAUGUGGUUUAAUUCGAUGCAACGCGAAGAACCUUACCAUCCCUUGACAUCUACAGAAGGUUUUAGAGAUAAGACUGUGCCUUCGGGAACUGUAAGACAGGUGCUGCAUGGCUGUCGUCAGCUCGUGUUGUGAGAUGUUGGGUUAAGUCCCGCAACGAGCGCAACCCCUAUCCUUAGUUGCCAGCGGUUCGGCCGGGAACUCUAGGGAGACUGCCGGUGAUAAACCGGAGGAAGGUGGGGACGACGUCAAGUCAUCAUGGCCCUUACGGGAUGGGCUACACACGUGCUACAAUGGCGCGUACAAAGGGCAGCAAGCUAGCGAUAGUGAGCGAAUCCCAGAAAGCGCGUCGUAGUCCGGAUUGGAGUCUGCAACUCGACUCCAUGAAGUCGGAAUCGCUAGUAAUCGUGAAUCAGAAUGUCACGGUGAAUACGUUCCCGGGCCUUGUACACACCGCCCGUCACACCAUGGGAGUGGGCUGCACCAGAAGUAGAUAGCUUAACCUUCGGGAGGGCGUUUACCACGGUGUGGUUCAUGACUGGGGUGAAGUCGUAACAAGGUAGCCGUAGGGGAACCUGCGGCUGGAUCACCUCCUU
rnacentral:rRNA from 1 species